rnacentral:rRNA from 1 species
GGAAUAUUGCGCAAUGGGGGCAACCCUGACGCAGCAACGCCGCGUGCGGGACGAAGGCCUUCGGGUUGUAAACCGCUUUCAGCAGGGAAGACAUCGACGGUACCUGCAGAAGAAGCCCCGGCUAACUACGUGCCAGCAGCCGCGGUAACACGUAGGGGGCGAGCGUUAUCCGGAUUCAUUGGGCGUAAAGCGCGCGCAGGCGGCGCGCCAAGCGGGACCUCUAAUCUGGGGGCUCAACCCCCAGCCGGGUCCCGAACUGGCGCGCUCGUGUCCGGUAGGGGAGGUCGGAAUUCCCGGUGUAGCGGUGGAAUGCGCAGAUAUCGGGAGGAACACCGAUGGCGAAAGCAGACCUCUGGGCCGCGACAGACGCUGAGGCGCGAAAGCUAGGGGAGCGUACA